GUAAAACUGUGACAAAUAUGCAUCUCCCUCGUUAACGGAGUAAUGAUGGCAGAUACUGGUGUAGCAGGAGCUUGGCCUGAAGCCCGUGCAUGAUUCUUCUCUGUGUGAGGACUUGGUUCUUGGUUUGGCUGUGGGGAACAAAAUUUGGAACUGUCGUCAACUUCAUGACUUUAGUUCAGGUUUAAAACCUUAUCUAGCUUAUUGUGAUUGUCUUGAUUAUGCCAUUAAAGAACUUUUAAGAUUUGUGUAUUAUGCCACUAAGACAUAUUACAUUCUCUGUGUUAAAAAGGCAUGUUCUGCUUAAACGACUCGGUCAACUACGGCUCUCAGUUGUAGUCUUCAUGGUUUUGUUCCUCCAUUCUUGGCACGUCCUUAUCUGCAAAUGAAUGUCAACCUUCCAUUACUAUCU